rnacentral:rRNA from 1 species
UACGGAGGGUGCAAGCGUUAUCCGGAUUCACUGGGUUUAAAGGGUGCGUAGGCGGCUUAGUAAGUCAGUGGUGAAAUCUCCGGGCUUAACCCGGAAACUGCCAUUGAUACUAUUAGUCUUGAAUACCGUGGAGGUCAGCGGAAUAUGUCAUGUAGCGGUGAAAUGCUUAGAUAUGACAUAGAACACCAAUGGCGAAGGCAGCUGGCUACACGAGCAUUGACACUCAGGCACGAAAGCGUGGGGAUCAAACAGG